GUCUACGGCCAUGCUACCCUGAACAAGCCUGAUUCCGUCUGAUCUAAGAAGCUAAGCAGAGGCGGGCCUGGUUAGUACUUGGAUGGGAGAUCACCUAGGAAGACCAGGUGCUGUAGGCA
rnacentral:rRNA from 1 species